rnacentral:rRNA from 1 species
UACGUAGGGUGCGAGCGUUGAUCGGAAUUACUGGGCGUAAAGCGUGCGCAGGCGGCGCGUUAAGUCAGAUGUGAAAGCCCCGGGCUCAACCUGGGAAUUGCAUUUGAGACUGCAUAGCUAGGAUGCGGAAGAGGGAAGCGGAAUUUCCGGUGUAGCGGUGAAAUGCGUAGAUAUCGGAAGGAACACCAGUGGCGAAAGCGGCUUCCUGGUCCAGCACCGACGUUCAGGCACGAAAGCGUGGGGAGCAAACAGG